rnacentral:lncRNA from 1 species
AAGAGCACGCAAGUGCAACGUGCGGGGAAAAAAAAAGGAACCCUAAGGCAGAUUGGGAAGAAAUCUAACCCUAGUUCGGCUCUAAUACCAUGUUAGGAAUAGCACUUGUAUUCAUAACAGGGGCUCUAGGCCCAUAUAUAUACAGGUACAAGAAGGGGAAAAUAUACAGAAAACCCCCUAAUACAAAAGGUAAAUCACCAACAGUACAUAUACAUCUAAC